UACAGAGGUCUCAAGCGUUGUUCGGAUUCAUUGGGCGUAAAGGGUGCGUAGGCGGCGCGGUAAGUCGGGCGUGAAAUGCCGGGGCUCAACCCCGGGACUGCGUCCGAUACUUCCGAGCUGGAGGUAGGUAGGGGAGAUCGGAAUUCCUGGUGUAGCGGUGAAAUGCGCAGAUAUCAGGAGGAACACCGGUGGCGAAGGCGGAUCUCUGGGCCUUACAUGACGCUGAGGCGCGAAAGCUAGGGGAGCGAACAGG
rnacentral:rRNA from 1 species